AGGUGCGAUCAUACAAGCACUAAUGCACCGGAUCCCAUCAGAACUCCGAAGUUAAGCGUGCUUGACCGAGAGUAGUACUAAGAUGGACUUUGUCAUGAGACUUUCACAGACACAGGUA
rnacentral:rRNA from 1 species